rnacentral:rRNA from 1 species
AGCAGCCGCGGUAAUUCCAGCUCCAAUAGCGUAUAUUAAAGUUGUUGCAGUUAAAAAGCUCGUAGUUGAAUUUCGGGAUCAAUAUGUCGGUCGUGCCUUCGGUACGUACUGGCAUCAUUGGUUUCUCCCUUCUGACAAACCAUGAUGUCAUUAAUUUGGUGUUAUGGGGAGUUAGGACUGUUACUUUGAAAAAAUUAGAGUGUUUAAAGCAGGCAUUAGCUUGAAUACAUUAGCAUGGAAUAAUGAAAUAGGACGUUUGACCCUAUUUUGUUGGUUUCUAGGAUCGACGUAAUGAUUAAUAGGGAUAGUUGGGGGCAUUAGUAUUCAAUUGUCAGAGGUGAAAUUCUUGGAUUUAUUGAAGACUAACUACUGCGAAAGCAUUUGCCAAGGAUGUUUUCAUUAAUCAAGAACGAAAGUUAGGGGAUCGAAGACGAUCAGAUACCGUCGUAGUCUUAACCAUAAACUAUGCCGACUAGGGAUCGGAUGAUGUUAAUUUUUUAAUGACUCA